CACGUAGGCGGGUCUUUAAGUCGGGGGUGAAAUCCUGGAGCUCAACUCCAGAACUGCCUUCGAUACUGAGGAUCUCGAGUCCGGGAGAGGUGAGUGGAACUCCGAGUGUAGAGGUGAAAUUCGUAGAUAUUCGGAAGAACACCAGUGGCGAAGGCGGCUCACUGGCCCGGUACUGACGCUGAGGUGCGAAAGCGUGGGGAGCAAACA
rnacentral:rRNA from 1 species